GUGCUCAUUUCGGUAGCACAUAUACUAAAAUUGGAACAAUACAGAGAAGAUAAGCAUGGCCCCUGUUCAAGGAUGACAUGCAAAUUUGUGAAGCGCUCCAUAUAAAA